rnacentral:rRNA from 1 species
CGGACCGGCGCACGGGUGCGUAACGCGUAUGCAACCUACCUUCAACAGGGGGAUAACACUGAGAAAUUGGUACUAAUACCCCAUAAUAUCAUAGAAGGCAUCUUUUAUGGUUGAAAAUUCCGAUGGUUAGAGAUGGGCAUGCGUUGUAUUAGCUAGUUGGUGGGGUAACGGCUCACCAAGGCGACGAUACAUAGGGGGACUGAGAGGUUAACCCCCCACACUGGUACUGAGACACGGACCAG